GAUGAAGAACGCAGCGAAAUGCGAUACGUAGUGUGAAUUGCAGAAUUCCGUGAAUCAUCGAAUCUUUGAACGCACAUUGCGCCCCUUGGUAUUCCGAGGGGCAUGCCUGUUCGAGCGUCAUUACACCACUCAAGCUAUGCUUGGUAUUGGGCGUCGUCCUUAGUUGGGCGCGCCUUAAAGACCUCGGCGAGGCCACUCCGGCUUUAGGCGUAGUAGAAUUUAUUCGAACGUCUGUCAAAGGAGAGGAACUCUGCCGACUGAAACCUUUAUUUUUCUAGGUUGACCUCGGAUCAGGUAGGGAUACCCGCUGAACUUAAGCAUAUCAAUAAGCGGAGGA
rnacentral:misc_RNA from 1 species